AAUGAGCCUGCGAGUUGUGGUGUCUGGCAAGGUUAAGCAAACGCGAAGCCGUAGCGAAAGCGAGUCUGAAUAGGGCGCUUAGUCAGAUGCUGCAGACCCGAAACGAAGUGAUCUAUCCAUGAGCAAGUUGAAGCUAGUGUAAGAACUAGUGGAGGACUGAACCCAUAGGCGUUGAAAAGCCCCGGGAUGACUUGUGGAUAGGGGUGAAAGGCCAAUCAAACUUCGUGAUAGCUGGUUCUCUCCGAAAUAUAUUUAGGUAUAGCGUUGUGUCGUAAUAUAAGGGGGUAGAGCACUGAAUGGGCUAGGGCAUACACCAA
rnacentral:rRNA from 1 species